UGCAACAGGUUGUGUCCAAGGGACAGGCGUUGUUCCCUCGCUGCAGCGAAGAACAACAGAUUCAGCUUCAUUCUCGGAUAAAUGAUUUGCAGCGAUGUUACAGCCAGCUACAGGACACAGCAUCUAACCGUCUGGACUUGCUCGGUAAACAUCUCACCAGGAUGAAGCGAUACGAGACAGACGUUGCUAAGAUUGAAUGUUGGCUGAGUGCCAGCGAGCCAAUUGCUUUUGCUCCUGUUGUCCUACAGUGCCCUCUAGAGGACAUGGAGCAACAGAGAGGGCAGUUUCAGGACAUCUGUGAUGACUCUGACACCUAUAAGAAUCUGGUCGAUUCCCUGUGCUCUCAGGCCACCGACAUCUUGCCAGAGCUGAGCCCCAGUGACAAAGUUAUCAUUGAGGAGCAGCUGCAGUCCCUGCGAGAGAAGUGCAAAGAAGUGGCCAGCAAAUCAUCCAAUAAGCAGUACCACCUUGUAGACUCCAUUCAGCAGCGGGAGGCUUACGAGGCACAGCUUGCUGACGAGGAUACAGAGCUGGCCGAUCUGCAGGCCCUGGCUAAGCUGCUAGAGGAUCCAAUCAGUCAUGACGUGGAUCGGGCCACAGAUCAGCUGCAGAAGGCUGGGGAUAUUAAGGCCAAAGUUGUGAACCAGCAACCCAAAAUGGACAGUCUUCAUGACAGUUGCGCAGCCAUGGCAACCAGUGGCCAGAUGGACCAUGCAGAGGACGUGUCCCGAUUAGACGGGAUCUACAAGGACCUGCUCAGCCGGACCGCCUCCCGAUGCAUAGUCAUGGAGGAUGCGGUGAGGGUCAGACAAGCUUAUGCAGCCAACGUCAAGGAGGUUCAGGACUGCCUGGAGCACUGUGCCAUCGAGAUGCCAGCGCUGCAAGAAUCCGGAAUGAUAACUGAGGAGAAACUGGAAAAAUGCCAGGCCCUGAUGUCAAUGGUAGAUGAGCAGUUUCCCACCGUGGUGACUCUGGAAACCCAGGGGCAAGACAUCCUCCACACUGCCGACAAGACGGACCAGCCCGUCAUCACUGCCACCAACCUCAAGCUCAAGCAGGACCUGAGGUUGGCAGCGGAGAACCUGAGAGAAAACCAGCUGGUCCUGGAACAGACAAGGAGUGACAAGGAGGCACUGGGGAAGGAGGUGGAGGGAUGCCUGGCCUGGCUGAAAGCAGCCGACGCUGAGAUGAGGGAGAUGACACCCAUUGGCCUGCCUGCUGAAAGAGUUGAGGAAGAACUAAGCAAGCACGAGCUUUCACAGCCAACCCUGGACAAGCAGCUCCAGCAAGCCCAAGCCCUCAUCAUCAGUGUCAAUGCCAAGUACGCUGAGCUGGGGGAGCCCAUCCCCCUGAAACUCCAAGCCGACCUGGAGGAGAUGGAUGCCCUGCACUCCCAGCUCCUCUAUGCUACCAAGGAGAAAGCGGCCAGGCUGCAGGAGGCCCUGAACCUGAGGGAAGACCUGGAGAGAGGCCAGGAGGCGGUUGGGGAGUGGCUGGACGCUGCCGAGGAGAAGCUACAGGAGGAGGAAGAAGGGGUUGACUUUGAGGAGGGACACGACCAGUUGCAGAAACAUAAGCUCCUCUUUGCCAAGGAAGCAAUCUGCCAGAGUAGACUGGACGAAGUUGAAGAGAUCGCUGAGAAGAUCCUGCCAUCCCUUAGCCCAGAGGAUGCGGCCAAGCUGAAGGCAGAUCUCAGCGAUCUCGCCUCCCGGCUGGCGGACACUGCCACAAGGGCAAGGAACGUGGAGGAGGAGCUCCAGGACGGCGUAAACAACUGGCAGGACUUUCAGGCUGGUGCAGCCGAGAUGAAGAGCGCCCUUACUGGGCUGGAAGAGAGAGCCUCGUACCAGUCGCCAGUGAGCCUGGCAGUGGCCAGGGACAAUGAGCAACUCAGUCAGGAAAUAGGCGAAGUCAUGCAAACCCAGGUGAAGCAACUAGAAUUCUUGAAGCAGCAAGCUGAAAUAUUAGACAAGCAGGGAAACGAACCAGGCAAGGAAGCCGUCCAGAAAAGGUUGCAAGACCUGGAGCUUUUGGCAGACAGCCUGCAAGACAAGACAUCGGCCGACAACCAGAAGAUCAAGAGACAAGCUGCCAGCUGGCAGGGGUACCAUCAUGCUUUGCAAGAGGUCACAGAGUUCAUGUCAUCUGCUGAGCGAUGCCUGCCCAUGUACGUCUCACCUAGUGUUGGGAAUGAAGACCUCAUCAGCAAGCUGGAUUCUGCAAAGGAGAGCAAAGUCAAAAUGGCUGAAGGAGAAGCCAGCCUUGAAAGGUUGCAACAAGCCAGUCAAAUCCUGCUAGAUGAUCUUGAUGACCCAACACUCUCUGAACCAGUCAGAGAGGAGAUGGCAAGUGUACAAGACAGAGACAGCAGAUUACAAGCUGCAGCAACUGAGACUGAAUCUUCUCUGGAGCAAGAACUCGAGGACAGGCGAAUCUUUGCCUUACAGGUGGAGGACGUCUUGAAGGAUCUGAAACAACUCCUGAACAGACUGGCUGAGCUGGUACAGAGUGUUGGCCCAGAACUGAAAGAUGUUGAAGAGAAGAUGAACAGACAACAGGACAUGGCCAAUGAGCUGAAUGUCCUGAACCAGGCAUCUGACACCCUUGCUGACACUCAGCAGUCGAAGUAUGACACCCUCAAAGCCACGCCGCCUCCUGAGAUCGCCGAGGAGAUUGAGAGGCUCCGCAUCCAGCAAGCUCAGGUGGCCGAGGUGAUGGGGGAUGUGGAGAGGAGCCUUGAGGGUUCCAAGAGGCUGCGAAGAGACUUCUGCGACAAAGUGAAGAGGGUUGAGGAGGUCUUGGAGGAAGUAACUGAGACCUUGCAAGAGAGAGUCAUCGAUAUCUCGGAAGGGAAGAGAGCAACUGAGGAAGCUCAGGAAACUCUCCAAGAAGCCAAAGCUUUGAUGGAUGUCCUUCAUCACCAGGCUGACAGCCUCACCGACCAAUCCAAUCAGCCGACAGAGAGACAGCAGGUCAUUGCCAGAGUGGACAACCUCCAACACCAGGUCAUGGAGAUGGACGAGUCUGCAUCACUGAAGGUCGCCGAGCUGACCGAAGCGGUCGCACCCUGGGAGGAGUACCACGAGGCCAUGGCGAACGUGGAAUUAUGGGUAGCUGAAGGGAACAGUGUGACAGAGCCAGAACUUGUAAUGACGAGCCCACAGGUUGUACAGUCUCAGUUGGAUUCACACAAGAACAUUUUAGCCAAUGUCCCAGACAUCACUGAGAAGCUGGACGUACUGACUGCAACCACGGAAGCCCUGUCGCACAUCUGUGACUCGAAACAUCUUUCCCAGAAGGCCUCUGCCAUUUCCGAGCGAGCCAACGAAGUGGAAUCCAUCACUGAGGAGAGAAGAACAGUCCUUGAAGAGGCUGCCAAACAGUGGGUGAAGCAUGGCAAGGAGUUGGGGGAGUUGACAGCUGCUGUUUCGCAGGCCAAAGCGGCCAUGUUUGCACCUGAGUUGGAGACCAAGGGGCUGCAUCAACAGAUGAAAGCUCAAGAGGAUCUUUUGGCUGCUCUGGAAAUGUGCGAGGCCAAAGUGGAAGCUCUGAACAUCCGACAUGCCUUCCUGGUCCUGUCCAAACCCACAACCCGAGGCCAUCUCACUGAGACUCCACCCACCUCUCCUCGCCGUGCCCAGGAGGUCACACCCAAGGUUGCAGGUCAGGAGGUCAUCGACCCUCAGCUGACUGAAUUAGCUGGAGAAUUGGAGCAGCUGCACCAGAUCGCAGACGAACACAAAGACAAACUCAGGGUGGCUCUCAUCCAACAGGAGGAAUAUGAUGUCCAGUUGGAAGUCCUGGUGACUAAGAUAAGAGCAGCCCAAGACAGGAUGGCAUCACCCGUUGAGCCUACAACCAUGGAGGAAAUUAAGAGGCAGCUUGCAGAACAUGAUGCUUUGGCUGCAGAAAUCCAGACAUAUGAAGAUGAGAUCAGCCAGCUGAAUGAGAAGACAGAGAAGCUCCGUGAAGAGGCUGGGGCCAGAAUGGCCUCUCGGCUUGCCUCCUACGCCAAGGUCAACCCUCCACUCCAGUUCAUAACAAGACCACAUUUUGGUGUGCAGGCCCAGCUGCUGCGGAGGGGAAGUCCCACAAUGCUUCCAGGACUGUUUGCUACUCCCCAGGAUGCUCCCGCAAGUGUCGAUGACGGGAUGGAGCCACUGAGUGCCAAGAUGGUAGAGGACAUUGAGAAAGAAGAUAUUUCUGACGCAGAGGAACAGCCUCUUGAGGCAUCACAAGCUCUUGAUAGGAUUCCACAAAGGUCUGAUCUGACAGAACAAGCUCCUCCGAGCCUUGCAUCAGAGGCUCAGAAACCAUUGAAACGACAGGAUGAUAUGAAGACUCAAGUUGUUACGGAUCAAGGCCUGGCUUAUAUUCUGAGGCCUCUACAAGAGACUGCAGAUGACAUCAGCGGCUCGAGCCCCUUAACUGGCUCAGCAAGUCGCACCCCAGGUGGAGGUGUGGGACAGCCAUUACCAGACUAUGUUGUUAUGCAGGAAAUACAUCCAGAGAAAUUGCCAACUGUCGUUGCAAUAACAUCGAUUCCGGGAACUCACAAACCACUCAUAAUUCAGGAUCCAAGGACUGGACAACUCAUGGCUGCUGAGCCUGCCGAGAAACCAGAAGAGCUCCCAAAUCAGCCAACCAUCUACAUUCCAGAGUCUGGAAAAGUGUUGAUCUUAAAUCCAAAUGAGAACAUGGCAUUAGAGGCUUGCCCAGUUCAAACAGCUGGAGUAUUGCCCUCCCAGCACGCAGACUCUAAUACAAUUGGUCAGGAAUACCAACCACCAACAGAAACCCCACUUUCUCAGGUUGAACCCGGGAAAGCACCAGAGGCAGCUCUUCAAAAACAGAUUGUUACAGACAAAGGCCUGGCCUUUGUCCUGAGACCGCUUGAAGAUUUUGAUUUGAGUUCAGGUGUUCCGAGCCCCUUGUCUGGUGUCUUUGGCGUGGCCCCCGAUGGGGGCGACAGUCAGUCAUUACCUGCUCCAGAUUAUGUAAUGAUAGAUGACGCUCAACCAGACAGCUUGCCUGUUAUUCUAGGAUCAGACUAUUUACCUGUAGCUGAGAAGCCACAUGUCUUUAAAGACCCACAGACAGGACAACUCAUGUUUGCAGAGCCUUUAUCUGAACCCCUUGAGCUGCAAAGCACACUGACUGCAUACAUCCCUGACUCGGGAAGAGCUAUCGUUAUUGACCCAAGCAGGAAUAAGACAUUCGAAGCUUAUCCCGCUAAGGAUGUUCCUGCAGUGUCUGAGGAGGUGACGGCAGAAAUGAUCUUGCCUGUGGAACUGCAGGAGUGGAAAGCCAACCUUUCACUCCUUUCAGUUGAAGAGCAGUCAGCAGCUGAGACACUUCCACCAUCCAGAAGCCAACUUGAAGAGCCACAAGAAUCUGAGAGGCCUGUACUGCGACAGAUUAUCACAACAAAAGGACCAGCAUACAUUCUUAAGCCAAGUGAAGAUGGUUCAUGUCUUCCUAGUCCACUCAGUGGCCAAGAUGGCAGUGCCCCUGACGGUGGACAAAGCUCACAAUACCCUCAGUAUGUUAUCUCUGGGGAAGUUUCUCCACAGACUGUACCUAAUGUCAUUGGUACAAAGACCAUUUCCCUAACUGAGCCUUUGAGAAUACAAGAUCCAAAGACUGGUAACAUCAUGGAAGCAUACCCUGCUCAAAAACCAGAGGAAUUGAACUCAGAGGCCAUUGCAUUCUGUGAAGAGUUGAAUGCAUCACCAAUGGUCAUUCACUAUCCAGAAGCCAAUAAAGUCGAGGUCGCUCAGCCAAUGCUUUCUGCCACAAAACAGCCUGAAGCACAACUUCUAGUGAAUCAGUUAAUAACAGAAGAGGGGCCGGCUUACAUCCUGAAACCUAUUGAAGAGAUUAGUGGCCUUGACAGUUUGAGUCGUGCACCAAUGCGGGAUGAAAUUACCUCUGGUCCUUCUGUUUUAACUUCUUCAGAGGUUACUGAACUGGAGAAGGUACCAACAGUAAUUACAUCCAAACCAGGCCUCCAAUCCCUUCAACAGCCUCUGAAGAUAAAAGACCCGUUGUCUGGUCGCAUUAUGGCAGCACAGCCCUGUGAAGAUCCCAAAGACCUGCAGACACAAAUUACAGCAUACAGUGAUGAUCCUAAAUCUGGAGUGAUCAAGAUCCACCACCCAAUUGAAAGAAUAGUGCCAGGUGAAGAGUCAUUCGUCCUUGAAAAGAAACCAGUGACUUCAGAGCUAGAAGCUAAGUCUCCCCCCAAACAACAACUGGUAACAGCUGAAGGUCCAGCUUACAUUCUCAGACCUCUUGAGAAGCAAACAGGGCCUUUAGAUGCAAGUCCCUUGCAGGCAAAACAAGGAACUACUCCUGAUGGUAGUUACUACAUAAUCAGUGGCAAACCUGAAGCUUCUGUUCUACCAACUGCAGUAUCUUUAAGACCUUUACCAGAUGUUCAUCUUGGGCCAUUGACAAUCAGUGAUCCCAAAACAGGAAAGCUCUUAGAAGCCAUACCAGCAGUAGAUCCCCAACAGCUCAGGACAGAGGUCACAGCUGUCAUCAAGGAUUCAGAGGACCAACCAGUGAAGAUCUACCACCCAAAGAAAGCUCAAGUCCUGAUUGCAAAACCAGCAAAAUCUAUGCAAAGUGAGGAAACCAGUCCAUCAACAGUUUUGUCAAGACACCCUCUGAGGGCAGCAGUGCAAAAGAGAACACUCCCUGAGCAGCAGUUAGUCACUGAACAAGGACCAGUGUAUGUGCUGACACCACUGGAACAGAUGCCACCUGAAGAUGCAAAGCGUAUGCAAACAGCUCCCAUUACCCUCCCUUAUGACUCAGAACUGGACAAGCUUCCUCCUGUGUUGUCCUCAAGACCACUCUCAGAGACUGGUGUAGAAGCUAUGCACAUUGUUGAGCCUGUUUCCCAGAAGGUUAUGGUGGCAGUGCCAUGUGUUGAACAGACACAGUUGCUGACAGAAGUAACUGUGUUUAUCAAUGAGACAGACAAAGAAGUCAAGAUCCACCAUCCUCAGAGCCUCAAGCCAACACUGGAGGCAAUGUCUGUGGUUUUUGAGAAACAGCCAUUGCAAUUAAUGACGCCUGAAGAGCAACUGUCAGAUGAACAGCUUAUCACAGUGGAAGGCCCAGCAUUCAUUCUAAGGCCUAUCAGAGAUACAAGCCCACUGAUUCAACUAUCUGCAACAAGCCACAGGUCUGCAGGUAGCAUCAUUGGUGGCACAGAAAUCUGCGAUAUUCCAACUGUAAAAGAAUCAAAGCCAAUCUCAAGUGACACAGCUGAGCCCCUCUGGAUUAGAGAUCCAAGGACUGGGGAGAUCAUGGAGGCCAUCCCAGCAGUUGAUCCAGGUCAACUGCAAAGAGAAAUUACAGCAUAUAUAAAGGAUACCGAUGAGGAGCCAGUUAAGAUCCACCAUCCACAUACAGCAAGAGGCACAAAGAGACCAUGGACCACUAGUAGUGAGCCCUCACAGCUUGUAGAGGAUUCUGCCAGGGCCAACAAAGAUUGGCAUCAGAGACCUAUUGAAACUGGCACCAAGGCAAAGGUCAGCAAGAAGCCUGAAGGAUACAAGUUUGCUCUUGGCAAGUCACAAACUGAGCCUUCACCACCCAUGCAGGAAGUUGAAAUAGAUCUCAUUUUUGCUCAAUCAGUUGAAACAGCGAAGCUAACAGAAAGUCCAAGUUUUGAAAAAGCAUCCAGAAUCCCCAAACAAGAUGAUCAGUUGCAACCAGCUUAUUCUAGUCCCAUCUCACACCAGCUUGUUACGGAAAAGGGCCCAGCAUACAUCCUUGAGCCACUAGAUGAAGCAGCUGUGUUUCAGUUUGGAAGUCCCUGGGAAGGCGGACAAGGAACUACUCCAGGCGGUGGUGUGGGUUCAGCACCAGCUGACUUCCUCAAGGUGCAAGAAGUGCCGUAUGAACAGCUGCCGAGGGUCAUAGGAACAAGACGUGCAGUUGACCAACAUCCUUUUACAGUACAAGACCCUAAAACUGGGAAACUACUGGCUGCACAACCAGCACAUUCCUUAAAUGACUUAAGGCAGUCAGUAAGUGGGUAUAUACCAGAUGGCAGUAAAGAUCAAGCCAUGGAAAUCUUUGACCCUUCAAGGAAGCAAGUGGCUGUUGCUUUGCCAUCAGAGAUUGCAGAAGAUCUGAUGACUGCUUUAGGUGGCAAAUCAUAUUUUCCCUCCGAACCCAGACCAGAAGACUCAGCCUCAGUUCCAAUGGACUUUAAUGAUGCUAGGGUAUCUGCAGAUCCAGUUCCCACAGGCCAGAAAGCUACAGCAGCAAUUGCUGAGCACCCUGAUGGGCAGAUGGAAACCAGUGAGCAUUUGAGUGACUCCACAUUCACACUAAGCGCUGAACCACUAAGAACGUCAACUCCUUUCAGUUAUGCACAACUCUUGAAAAAGCCACUGGUUGAAGAAGCGAUUUCUAAACCUCAACUGUAUCAGGGAGCCUUUGAAAUGCAGGAAGAUGCACCAGAGCCUGAAAGCCAAUUGGAGGACAAACAAGACACCAUCUGUCAGCUGAUUACUGAUCAAGGGCCAGUCUAUGUCUUGAAACCAAUUGAUAAGGAAACAAUUCAUCCUGUUAAGGGCAAGGAAGGCAGUGCACCUGAUCGAAGUACUGGCCUUCCAUCUGUAGAUUUUGUCAUAUCUCAGGACACGUUGCCACAGCAGCAACCACCAGUUGUCACUGGAGCUCGGGAAGUACCACGGUCAUUGUCACUUUUUGUCAGGUAUCCAACCACAGGACAAGUUUUGGUUGCUUUUCCAGCUGAAAGCCUAAAGGAGCUAGAUGACGAACUGACAGCUUACAUACCUGAUAAUGCCAGUCAGUCAAUUCGAGUUCAUGAUCCGAGCAAACCAGAAGAUCAAGUAGCUGUUCCGACUGAGAUGGUAAUAGUUGAUGAAACUGCUUCUGCUCAGAGCAUAGGGCCCUCAGAAUAUUCUCUUUCUAUUCAGAGUCUGUGGGAACAGGCCCCCAAUGAUGCUACCUCAACAAAAAAUGAGGAACCAGGAAUAGAAUAUAAAGCUGAAGAAGAAAAGGCUUCUGAAAGCGGCCCCUGGCAGCUUGUUGGAAAAGAAGGUCCUAUCUUUGUUCUGAAGCCAACUGACUCGAAGGCAAGCAAUCCGCCCAUAUUUGAGCAAGCCAGGAUUUUGGACAGUGUAACAGGCACCCCAUCAAUUGACCUUGAGAUUUCUCCAGAAUCACAACUGGAGCACCCACCCGUGGUCACAGGUGCACAGCAUGCCACACCAACAUCUAAACCAAUGUUGAUCAAAGAUCCAAAAACCAGCCAAACAUUUAUUGCAGUACCAGCUCAGAGCUUGAGUGAAGUGGCUGAGGAGAAAACUGUGUGCAUUCCAGGGAAGGCAGUGACCCCAAUAAGGAUUCAUGACCCCCUCACAGGCCGAAGUGCAAGUGCUUCUGAUGACAUCUUUGCUGAUGAAGCUGAGUUGGCUAGCAGAGCACAUGAGGUACAAAAGCCUGGAUUCAAACUGCCUGAUGAACAUGGUGGUGAACAACAAUCUUCUAGGAAAGAUGAGGAGGGCUCUAAUAUGCAUACUACUCUAGUGGAGGAAUUCAACCAGUUGUUGACUGAUCAAGGACCAGCUUACAUAGUUAAGCCAAUUGAUACAUUUGAGGGUGAAGUGAGCAGUCCAUUGCAGGGUUUUGGUGGCAGUUCCUCUGGUACGGGAGAGGGUCCUUCAUCUGCCAACUUUUUGAUUUCAACAGAAUCGCAACCUCAUCGCCUUCCUCAAGUAAUAGGUGCAAGAAAGGUCAGUCCAUCAAAUCCUCCCAUAAUUCAGGAUCCAGAGACAGGGAGGACCCUUGUAGCAAGACCAGCACAGAGUUUGAAGGAUCUGGAAGAAAAUAUUUCAGCAUGUAUUCCAGAUGGUUUUGAGGAACCAGUAAGGAUCCAUAAUCCUUGCCAGACAGUUGAUCAAAUAGCUAUCCCUACAGGACAGAUUCAAGUGGAUGAGGCCAUAUUGUCAGAUAGGGUAGGCGAUAUACACAAGCCAUUAAGCCUAAAUUUACAAGAUAAUGUCAGGCGUGAUAAGCCAUCAGCUGGUAAAGAGGAUGAAAUGGAAGAAGACUCACAACCCAAGGGUGGUACAUCUGAAGAGAGCAUGCAGUUGCUUGCUGACCAAGUGGAUGGAGCAAUGGUAGAUUCACAACCUGUAGAUGAUGCACAGGAUGGAACAUUGCAACUACUUUCUGACCAAGGACCAGUCUAUGUCGUGACAUCUUUGGACAGUAAAAGCAGUUUGCUGCCAGGUAAAAAGGAAGGUGCAUCUGGCGGAGGGGCAGGGCCUUCUCUGGCAGACUUUGUGAUAUCAUCUGAUACCCAGCCGAUGCAAGAGCCUUUGAUAACCGGCGCUCGCAGCACUCCCCAAUCCAAGCUGCUCAUUAUUGAUGACCCAUUAACUGGCCAAAGCCUUGUUGCAAGACCUGCUCAGAGCUUGAGAGACUUCGCAGAAGAAGUGACCGCAUGUGUUCCUGAUGAAUGCAACAGGCCCAUCCGAAUCCAUGAUCCUCACACAACACAAGAUCAGAUUGCUGUGCCUGCCGCAAUGGUAUCGGUUGAGGAAGAAACAGUACCUCAAAUAACUGGAAAGAAGAAGAAAUCUAAGAAGCGAAAAAAGAAAGGAACCUCAGCUGACCGAAAAGACACCCCAAAAGAAGCACCUGAGAGACGUGUUCCACAUGAAGAGGCAAAGCAGCUGCUCACUGACCAAGGACCAUUGUAUGUAUUGACACCACAUGGCAGAGAGCUAAGCUCUCCCAUGAAUGGUCAGCAAGGUCUGGAUGGCAGAGUAGGGCCACUGUCAGCAGACUUCAUCAUAUCAGAAGACACAACACCACAACAGUUACCUGUUGUAACAGGUGCCAGGGAUGCUCCAAAAUCACAGUCAUUUGUAAUUCAAGAUCCAAGAACUAGGGAAGCACUGGUUGCCAGACCUGCAGAGAGUUUAAGUGAUCUAACUAAAGGAAUUACUACUUGCAUACCGGAUGAUACUACAAAACCAGUCAGGGUCCAUAAUCCUAAUGCAUCAGAAGAUCUUAUUGCACUUCCUGUUGAUAGUGCUGAACAAGGAUCUCCUUCAGAGGGUCUUUUAGUACCUCCUGUCAUUGAAACAUCCACACGUGAAGAAACUGAGCAAUUGCUCACUGAUCAAGGACCACUGUAUGUUCUGAAGCCAGUAGAUGGCAAAGUGUCUACCCUCAAAGGGGGCCAAGAAGGGGAUUCUGUUGAUGGUGGAGAGGGCCCUCCAUCAGAUUUUGUGAUGUCCCUGGAGACACAGCCUAAGCAGCAGCCUGUGGUGAGUGGAGCCAGGACUGUUCCACAGUCCACAGUGCUAAGGGUUCAAGACCCAAGAACUGGUCAGACACUGCUUGCAAAACCAGCACACAGUUUGAAUGACCUGCAUGAUGAGGUUACUGCCUCCAUCCCGGAUCAGACAGAUCAACCAAUACUAGUCCACAAUCCUUCCCUCCUAGAUGACCAAAUUGCUGUACCUGCCCAAAAGAGUCCAUCUGAUGAUCAAGCACUUCAUGCUGUCAGAGCAAAGAAACCAAAGUCACCAAGACAUAAAGGCAAGAAACAAAAGACAAAACACCCUGUGCCACAUCAAGAGGAAAAAAUGGAAGAAACACCAUCUGAGGUACCUGGAAUUCAACAGCUCUUGUCUGACCAAGGACCAGUUUUUGUCCUGACACCAGUAGAUGAUGCUAGUAAUCCCAUAAAGGGGCUCGCAGGUAGUGCACCAAGUGGAGGUGCUGGACCCCCAGCAGCUGACUUUGUGAUUUCACCAACAAGAAAGCCACUCCAGCAACCUGUUAUUACAGGUUCUAGAUGUGUGCCUCCAACAGAGCUCCUCUUUGUCAAAGAACCCAGAAGUGGAGAGACUCUAGUUGCUGAACCAGCAAAAAAUCUGAAGGAUCUCAAGGAAAAAUUGACAGUAUGCAUUCCCGAUGAAGCCAAACAGUCAGUAACUGUGCAUAAUCCAAUCGAGUCCUGUGAUCUGAUAGCAUAUCCUUCUGAGCCAGAGUUGGUAACUGAAAGAGUAUCAGCUGAAAAGUUAGACAGCAUGGAAAAGCCCCUUGCCAAGAGGCUUAGUGCUGAUCCCAGUGAAAGAUCUAUGCAAGUGAGGGAGGAUGAGCCCAUUCAGAAGCAGAUAAUCACCGAGAAAGGGCCUGCCUAUGUGUUGAGACCACUGGGAUCAGCUGCCAGCCCACUGGAUGGCCUUGAAGGAGAUACUCCUGAUGGAGGUGUGAAACCACCCAUUGUCGGGGACUACCGAAUCGCAGAUGAUGCUGAGCCACAGAGACUACCCAUGGCCAUUGGUGUGAGGGCUGCACCACAGCAAAGGCCACUUGUUGUCAUCAAUCCCCAAACUGGAGAGGCAGUGGAGGCCAUCCCAGCUCAGAAUGUGCGUGACCUGUACAAAAGCACCAUAGCGUACAUUGAAGAUGAAGAGAAUGGGCCCAUGAAAAUCCAUGACAAUGAUACUGGAAAGGUGAAGGUAGCGUACCCAGUAGAAAUUGGGAUGGAACCAGACAGUGAAGCUCCUAUGACUGAGGACCAGGAGGAUGAGCCGAGGAGUGGGGAAUCAACCCCUGGCUUCUACACCCCAGAAACUGGAUCCCCUGCUCGAUCUCGCUCUAACAGUCUCGAGUUGGCUGCAGAGGAGCCCAUCCAAGCCAGUGAAGCUGCACCACGUCUCACUGCCUUUGGCUUUCUGGCUCAAGUACUUGGGCUCACCUCUAAAAAAGAUUUGAAGCCAAAAGAGGAACCAGCAACAGGUUUGGACGGGACUGAUGAUGGCAUUCCAUAUGAGGAAGCUGAAGGUUUCCUGCCUCCUGGAGAAACAGAAAGACCAUCCACAGCCGAGCAGGUGAACAUCCCUGAGUCAUAUUCACAAGCCACUUUAGAUGCUGGCUCAAAAAUCAGACCUGAAGAGCCAGUACCUCAACCUUCACGAAAACUAACAACACCUGUCAAAACUGUCAGGUUUGCUGAUGACUUGCCACCAACUUUUCCAUCGUCCCAAAAAUCAGAACCUGAUUCAGAUGUACAGGCCACUUUCAAGCCACACUUCCCCCACCCCAAGCCUACAAGAAGAGAUCCCGAUCAACAAGAAGCAAGAGAUCCUCAGGGUAAGUCCAGAGAGCCAAGAAAGAAGCUAUCCUCCACACCCAAGGAGUCUGACCAGAGGCAUCCUCAGCCCCCAACUGAUCUCUCUUUGCAUCCUGUCACCCCAAAGAAAACUCCAGAAGCUAAACCAAGUCCUCGAAGGCAUCUUCACCCAUCACCUAUGGGCUUCCGUCCAAGCUUUGUUUCCCAAUCCCCAACAUCCCAAGCACCUGCUCCAGAGCAGCUUAUCACCCCAGAUACAGACUCAGACCUGUUCUACACACCCGAUGCACCGUCAACAUCAUCAGAUGAAGUGUACUAUCCAGCUCGACAGCCAGACGAAGAGACUCCAACACAGUUGACAAGAAAAUGUGUUACAGCAGCUCCUGUUUCUGGACCUGUAAAAUCCCCCUCCUCACCAAGAUCCAGAGUCCCUAAAGGAGCUGAAUCAUCUCCAUUGGAAGACCUCCCCAGUAAAACCAGAAAAGGGAAGACUUCCCCCAUCGUGGGAAAAGAUACUUCUCCGUCUAGGGAGACAGGUGGAGAUAGAAUUGAGGAACUCAAUAGGUCAUGGGACAACCUCCAGCAAAAGAUGGAAGAGAAACAGAGAAUGUUGCGAGACGCUCUAGCCCGCCAAGAGGACUACCACAAUGCUCUGUCUGAGCUGAACAUCCAACUGGAAGCUGCAGAGCAGAAGCUAAAAGGGAUUGAUCAGCAAGACCUAGACGAGGGAAUUGCUACCUUAGGUCACAUCUUGGAUGAGGUGGAGGCUCUCCAGGAUAAGAUCAUUGAAGUCAAGGAGAAAGGCGAUAAGGUGGUGUCCCGCGGUGACGCUAGCAACAGGGAUGCCAUCCAAGCAACGCUGGCAUCUCUCAGAGAGAGGACGGGCAAUCUCCUCAGUGACAGCCUGGACAAACUCAACCAACUACAGAUUGAGAGGGAAGAGCAGGAGGAGCUGAAGAGCCAGCUGACGUCAUGUAAGAACGAGCUGCUUCAACUGGAAACGUGGUUGGAUAACUUCGUCCAACUCCUUGAGGAGGAGGGGCAGGGUGCAGCCUCUCAAGCUGAGGUUAGCGUUGUGGCAAUCCAACAGCAGCUGGUGCUCAAUCAGAAUCACCAGUUAGAGCUGAGUCGCAAACUCCAGAAGCUCCAAGAUGUGCAGGGCAUUGUGGACGACAUCCAGGCCAACUGCCCCUCCCGUGAGGGUGAGACCACCUCCGCCCUGGCUGCCCUACUGCGCACUCGUGCUGAGACGCUGAAGCGGGACCUGGGCGACCGGCAGGAGCUGCUCAAGAUGCGGCGCAACACCCAGCAGAUGGCGGAGGAGUACCAGAGCGAUGUGCAGCGGCUACAGGAGUGGCUGGCCGCGCACCGUGGUGCCACAACUGCCACCCUAGCAGCAACUGAAGGGAUGGAGGGACGGUCGCUGCCCAUCGACGUCGGCUCUGAGUCAUUGCAGAGACAGAUGGACCUGCAACAGAGACUGGAGGAAGAGCUGUCUGCCCACCAGGCGCUGCUGAAAUCGGUCGCUCGCCGAGGCACACGACGACGUGCCCACCCAGCUACCUCCCCCACGGAGGAGGAGAGCAGCCAAGUGAAUGGCAGGGACGAAGACACCGAGGACCAUGAGCUGUCCGAGAUGCGAGCCAAGUGGCAAGAGAUCUCCAGCCAGGAGGCAGAGAGGAAACGGCAGCUACUGGCCUCCCUGGAGUAUGCCAGACCCAAGGAGACUAAUGGCUUAAAUUACCCAGCACCAGCAAGGCGAACUUUGACCUUUGACCUGCUGGACAGGUCAGAGGAAGCAGAGGAGGACAUGCAGGCAUCUGUAAAGGCUCUCAAUCAGUGUUGGGAAAAAAUGCAAACUCAGGUUGAAGACCAACAGACCAGACUAGAGCAGGCCUAUGAGUUCCAGUCGGCCUACCAGACAGCUCUGCAGAAUGUCUCCAGUUGGCUUGACAAUGUGCAGCUGAAGCUUUUCUCAUCCAGUUGGCAGAAGGAUACACAAGCUCAGCUGGAUGAUCACUCCGCCCUUCAAGAUGAAAUCCACACCUUCCAAGACCAGCUGGAGGUCAUGAACGAGUCUUGCCAAGCCGUCCUCCUUGAAGCCAACGAAGAGAAUCGGCAGCUGAUCCAACAAGCGUUGGCGGACCUCAACUUGCGCAUGUCCACACUGGAAACAGAGGCCCAACAACGGGAACAAGAACUCAGGGAGAAGAAUAAGAGACAGAAAGCCUUCCAGGAUGAUGCGCAGAUCUUCCAGAGUUGGUUGACUGAUGCCAAGAAGCGACUGACCAGCCAAGAUGAAUCAGAUAGUGUGGUGGCAUUAGAAGACAAGAUCAACUAUAACCAGGAUCUACAACGACAAAUCCAGCAACUAGAAAAUGAAAUCCAGCAGAAUGAGGCCAGACUUCGCGACGUGGUUGAGAAGGGUGACCAGCUGUUGAGCCUGGAUCCGCAGAGCCCUGCUGUAGGGAACGAAGUGAGCAUGCUGCAAACUGGCUGGGAGGACCUCUACCGUCAGGCUGGGACCAGGAGAAGACGUCUCAACAAAGCUAAGAUACUCCAGGAGCAGUACCAUAAAAUCCUUCAGGAUUACAUGGAGUUUCUUGAUAUGGCGGAGCAGAAGCUGAGCAGGGAUGACGUCAUGGCCACUGAUGCACGCAAUCUCAGGGAACAACUAGAAAAACACAAAGAAUUCUUCAGCGACCUGGGCACCCACCACCUUACCAUCGAGUCCAUCGCCCAGAAGGCUGACCCCUCCACCCAGGAGCUCUUUGCCAGCCAGCGGUCACUGCUGGACCAGCGCAGCCACGCCAUCCAGGCCAAGGCCACUGUCCGAGGCCAGAUGCUGGAGAGACUGGUGACCGACUGGGACCAGCUGGAGAAGAGCCUGGAGGAGUUGAGGAGCUGGCUGGGUCACGUGGAGGCCCAGCUGCCCAGCAGCAUUGAUGAUGCCACGCAGGAGAGCGUACAGAAGGGAAUUCACAAAUAUCAAGCAAUGACCAACCUUCUGAGUGACCGUAAGCCCACCCUCCAGCAAGUGCUGAAUCGUGGCCAGGCCCUGCUGAAGAACGUUACCUCCUCCAAGCUGGACAACCAACUCCUGGACCUGUCGGAGAAGUGGGCCACUGUGCAGUCCAAGAUCAGCCAGGAGCUGGCCCUGUUGAGCGGCCUUCUCCAGGAGUGGAAGGCCUUCAACCAGGAAUCAGCCAGCUUCCUGCCCUGGCUGAGGGACGCCAACAAGGAGCUCCUGGAGUGGGGCAAGAAGGAUCAGCAGCCGCAGGAAGUGGGAGCCAUGGUGGCACGUCUGGAGAAGUUUAUGGCUUUCCGUAAGGACAUCGAUGGCCACUUGCCACUCAAGGAGUCAGUCUGCAACCACGGCCAGCAGCUGUUGAAAGUCAAGAAGCUCCACACUCAGCCAAUCACAGAGAAGCUGCGGCUAAUUGACAGCCAAUGGAGUGACCUGCAGAAUGAGCUGCCCCACGUACAGGAAGAGUUGCAUCAAAUGCAGAUGGAGCUCUUGCCAUCUAGACAAGCCCUGAAUGAGCUGAUGUUGUGGAUGGAUGCCCUGGAACGGAUGCUAGACGACCACAAGGAGAAGACUUACUCCAGCUCAAAUGAGGUGGAUGCCAUGAUGCAGAUAUAUAGAGGUUACAAGAUCGACCUGUCUACAAAGCUGUUGACUGUGGAGUUUGUCAACCAGUCUAUGCUCCACAUGAGCCAGGACCUGGAGUCCAAACGCGAGGACAAGACAGACUUUGCCGAGCGGCUGGGCGCCAUGAACCAACGCUGGGAGACCCUCAACGUUUCUGUGACUGAAGUGGUUAAGCGCCUGGACUCCCUCCAGCAGGACUGGCUGGAGUGGGAGCGGCAGGUCAGGGAGCUGACCACCUGGCUUGACAAACAGGAGGCCAAGCUGAGAAAAUGCGAGGGAAAGGUUGGACAUGAGACAAGCGUAGAACAAGCCGUCAAGAUGUGCCAGACGAUGGAAGACUCGAUCGACUCAAAGCAGUCAGACAUCACCAAGAUCCAGCAGACGGGCCAGACCUUGGCCCCGCUGGAGACAGUCCUCUGCACCGUGCAAGACCUGGAGCAGUCCAGGGACGGCCUGACCAUCCUCCUCAAGGAGGUGCGAGCUCUGCUGAUCACUGCACUGGAGCAGUGGCGGAUGUACCACGAGUGCCUGCAGGCCGUCUCUGCAUCCCUGGGAAAGGCCGAGUACUGCAUCAGUCGAGUUGGCAUGGCAACGGGGACCCUGGAUUCGCUAGAGUUUCAGUUAAACAAGUUUAAGGACUUACAAGCAGAGUUCACAGGUCAUAGAACACAACUGACUAACCUAUGCAGAUUAGCUGACCAAUUAGGACUGGUAUGCAAGUCAUCCGUGUGUGAAUCUCUUGACAGAACCGUCAAUGACCUAACCACGAGGUGGAACAAUGUGGAUUACCAGCUGAGGGAGACAGUCACCAGUUUUGAGAAGUCCUGGUCUCUGUGGCACCAGUUUGAAGAAAGGCAUGAUGGGAUUGAGGCAUGGCUCAUUGAGAAGGAGAAUGAGUGCGAGUGUGCGAUGGCAGUCCCAGAGGAAUCAGACGUGGAGACGGAUAGGGAGGCAGAUAGGGUGACAGAGAGGGCAAAACAGGUGGAGACUUGCAAGAAACUUCUUGACGAGCUGAAAUCCUACCACGAAAUUGAUGCCUUACGUAACCUAGUGGACCAACUGACCAGGCACAUGGACGGCACCACAGCCAACAACAUUGCCUCCAGGAGACGGGUGCUAUCCUUGAAACAAGACAACCUGUGCAAGGCCUUGAAGCGGUUCAUCAAGACCCAGGAGGCAGACCUCAAGAUGCAGCGUCAGCUAAGAGACAAGAUACAGAAGCUCCUCUCCUGGCUGGAAGACGCCACUGACGUCAUCAACAUGGAUGACCCCAACCGAUCAUCAGAUGAGACCUCCAUCAGGGAACGCAUGGCUCAACUCAAGGCUGUUAUGGUGGAGUUCAGUGGGCGCCAGUCAGAGUUGAACUCCCUGAAUGAGAUGGGUUACCGGCUGAGUCUGAACCGCACCAACGCCGCCGACCUCUCCUCGGUCAACAACAAGUGGAACGCCUCCUUUGGCCGUGUCUGUGAGAAGUACCGUCGCCUGCAGGGCGUGCUGUUGCAGCAGCAGAGCUUUGCCCAGAAGUGUACCGCUUGGAGUAACUUCAUCGAGGAGACAGAGAAGAACCUGGCGGUGGUCAUAGCUGGUAGCUACUUGGAGCUUCUAGAUCAACAAAAAAUAUAUGAGGUAUUUGAGUCAGACAUCUUCAACCGCCAGCAAAUCUUGUUUUCCAUCAUUAAUGACGGUCAGCGCAUGGUGCAAGACGGCGACCUGGACGACCCCGAGGAGUUCCAGCUCCAGCUGGACCAGCUCAGCGAACAGUGGCAGAGUGUCAUCAGGCGGACAGCGGCCAAGAAGGACGACAUCGACAAGAACAUCAGAGCGUGGAACGCUUACUACCAGAUGCUGAGCAAGAUGCAGGAGUGGCUAGAGGAGAUUGAAGAGGAGGUCAAAGCUUACGACAUCACCACUGCUCCCUUGCAGAGAAUACGAAGCCUUGCCGAUCAGGCAAAGGGGACUCAGAGGUCGGUCGAGCUCCAGGAAACCCUCUACCUCUCCCUUAAUGAUGCUGGCAAGAGCCUCCUCAGGAACUCAGACAGUCAGUCAGCCGAGAAACUCAAAUUGGAAUUGACGGAUGUCCAGAACAGCUGGCACCAGGUGACCACGGGCCUGCGGAAGAACAUGCAGCAUCUGGAAGAGGUCAUUGGGGAGUGGGAGGGCAGCGACGCACUGAUGGACGAGCUGCACGACUGGCUACGCAGCAACAGGAAGGUGCUAAGUCAGCCCCUGCCCCACCAGUACGACGAGCUGCAGCGGGGGCUGGAUAGAUGCAAAGAGAUUGAGAACUCAUUUGAUGCCACCGGGAGCCGGCUGGAGAAGCUGAGACAUCUGGAGGGCCGCUUGCAACCCACAGUCAGUCCAGACGACAUGGCCGUCCUGAGCGAGCGCAUUGCGCUCCUGAGCAAGCAGUGGGAGGAGGUGCACCACCAGACGUGCCAGCGGCGACAGCAAAUCACGGACAGGCUUAAUGAGUGGGCUACCUUUACUGAGAGAUAUAAGGAGUUUUGUGAUUGGCUGACACAGAUGGAGGUGAAGAUUGUACAGAAUGGAGAGCACAGCAUUGAGGAUCUCUUGGCAAAGUUGACAGAGGCCUACCAGGAGGAGAUAGAGUCGGCCAAGUCCAGCAAGGAGCAGCUGCAGGAACUAGGCCAGCGACUGAUCACCGCCAGCAAUGAGGCCAGAGCCAGUGACAUCGAGUACAAGCUAGCCAAGCUAGCUGAGCGCUGGAACCACCUCAUGGAACUUGUCGGAGCACGAGUGAAGAAGCUGCAAGGUACAUUGACGGCAGUACAGGAGCUGGAUCAAAACAUGGGUCAUCUCCGCCAUUGGCUGACGCAGAUGGAGAAGCAGCUAGCUUCCCCCAUCAUGUAUGAGACGUGUGACAAGAUCGAGAUACAGGCCAAGCUGCAGACCCAACAGGAGAUCCAGAAGGACAUCGAGCGCCACAGCAAAGGGGUGACCUCCGUUUUGAACCUAUGCGAGAUGCUACUUCACGACACAGAUGCCUGCUCCUCAGAUGCUGACAAUGAGGCCAUACAGACAGCUGCCAGAACCCUGGACCAGCGAUGGAGGGCCAUCUGCUCCUCCUCCAUGGAGAGGAAGAUGAAGAUUGAGGAGACGUGGAGAUUGUGGCAGAGGUUCAUUGAUGAUUACACCCGAUUUGAUGACUGGCUAACGAGCAGUGAGCGAAUAGCAUCCAACCCGCACACCACCAGUGCACCGUUUGCUGUCAUCAAGGAAGAGAUCAAGAAAUUUGACAUGUUCCAGAGGAAGGUCCAGGAGAACUUCACCCAGCUAGAGAUCCUCAACAAGCAGUACCGGCGGCUGGCCCGGGAGGGCCGGGCUGACCGCACCCAGCAACUCAAAACCAUGGUGCAGCAGGCCAACGACCGCUGGGACGACCUGGUCCGACGCUGCUCGGCCAUCCUGAGGCGGCUGCGAUACGCCCAGAGCCAGAAGGAGGAAUUUGCCGCCUGCAAGGAGAGCAUGCAUGUGUGGCUGACGGAAAUGGACCUGCAACUCACCAACGUGGAGCACUUCUCAGAGUCUGACAUAUCGGUCAAGAUCAAGCAGAUGAUGGCUUUCCAGCACGAAAUCGAGCUCAACCGGCCCCGACUGCAGGAGAUUGUUGAGCAUGCCCAGGUCCUGAUGCAGCGCUCCGAUCCCCACGACAGCGCCUUCAUACAGGAGGAGAUGGACGAGCUGCAGCGGUACUCGGUGGAAGUGUUUGACAGGGUCAGAAAGUUCCAGCGCAAGCUUGAAAGACUCUCCAUGGCACAGGAGUUUUAUUGAUAGCCUGUGCCAGUUUACAGGAUAGAUAAAUUGUUCAGCAUUGUAGCUUGGAUCACUUUAAAAAACCCAACAAAGAGGAGUGUAGUUAGGAAUAAACCAAGUAUGAAACCACUAGCACCGAGACAGAAGAAGACAGCGAGGGUAUCAGCUCGCGGGACAUCAGCCCUGACCGGGACAGUCCGUCA
rnacentral:misc_RNA from 1 species